CUCCAUGGUUAAUACCCAUGGACGAUGACAUUAGCUGCAGAAUAAGCACCGGCUAACUCUGUGCCAGCAGCCGCGGUAAUACAGAGGGUGCAAGCGUUAAUCGGAAUUACUGGGCGUAAAGCGAGCGUAGGUGGCUUGAUAAGUCAGAUGUGAAAGCCCCGGGCUUAACCUGGGAACGGCAUCUGAUACUGUUAGGCUAGAGUAGGUGAGGGGAAGGUAGAAUUCCAGGUGUAGCGGUGAAAUGCGUAGAGAUCUGGAGGAAUACCGAUGGCGAAGGCAGCCUUCUGGCAUCAUACUGACACUGAGGUUCGAAAGCGUGGGUAGCAAACAGGAUUAGAUACCCUGGUAGUCCACGCCGUAAACGAUGUC
rnacentral:rRNA from 1 species